UGAGUACGAGCUGCUACGGCAGCGAAGUGGGUGAUGUCAAGCUUCCAAGAAAAGCCCUAUACCCGUUAAGGCAUGAUGGCCUGUACCCGAAACCGACACAGGUGGGGUGGUAGAGAAUACCGAGGGGCGCGAGAUAACUCUCUCUAAGGAACUCGGCAAAAUGGCCCCGUAACUUCGGGAGAAGGGGUGCCACCGCAAGGUGGUCGCAGUGAAGAGGCCCAGGCGACUGUUUACCAAAAACACAGGUCUCCGCUAAGUCGCAAGACGAUGUAUGGGGGCUGACGCCUGCCCAGUGCCGGAAGGUUAAGGAAGCUGGUCAGCGUAAGCGAAGCUAGCGACUGAAGCCCCGGUGAACGGCGGCCGUAACAAUAACGGUCCUAAGGUAGCGAAAUUCCUUGUCGGGUAAGUUCCGACCCGCACGAAAGGCGUAACGAUCUGGGCGCUGUCUCGGAGAGAGGCUCGGCGAAAUAGAAUUGUCUGUGAAGAUGCGGACUACGUGCACCCGGACAGAAAGACCCUAUGAAGCUUUACUGUAGCUUGGUAUUGUGCUCGGGCUCGGAAUGCGCAGGAUAGGUGGGAGGCUAUGAACCAUUGCUUGUGGGUGAUGGUGAGCCACUGGUGAGAUACCACUCUUUCCGAGCUAGAGUUCUAACAGCCACCCGUUAUCCGGGGGCUGGACAGUAUCAGGUGGGCAGUUUGACUGGGGCGGUCGCCUCCUAAAAGGUAACGGAGGCGCGCAAAGGUUUGCUCAGGCUGGUUGGAAAUCAGCCGACGAGUGUAAAAGCAGAAGCAAGCUUGACUGUGAGACCUACAAGUCGAACAGGGAGGAAACUCGGCUUUAGUGAUCCGACGGUUCUGCGUGGAAGGGCCGUCGCUCAACGGAUAAAAGUUACUCUAGGAUAACAGGCUGAUCUCCCCCAAGAGUUCACAUCGACGGGGAGGUUUGGCACCUCGAUGUCGGCUCAUCGCAACCUGGGGCUGAAGUCGGUCCCAAGGGUUGGGCUGUUCGCCCAUUAAAGCGGUACGCGAGCUGGGUUCAGAACGUCGUGAGACAGUUCGGUCCAUAUCCGGUGCAUGCGCAGGAAUAUUGAGAGGAUUUCUCCCUAGUACGAGAGGACCGGGAGGAACGCACCUCUGGUGUACCAGUUAUCGUGCCAACGGUAAACGCUGGGUAGCCAUGUGCGGAGAGGAUAACCGCUGAAAGCAUCUAAGUGGGAAGCCCACCUCAAGAUGAGUAUUCCCAUGGGGUAACCCAGUAAGGUCACGGGAAGAACACCCGUUGAUAGGCUCUACGUGGAAGCGCAGUAAUGUGUGAAGCGGAGGAGUACUAAUAGACCGAGGGCUUGACCAA
rnacentral:rRNA from 1 species